rnacentral:rRNA from 1 species
GACGAACGCUGGCGGCGUGCUUAACACAUGCAAGUCGAACGGAAAGGCCCUGCUUUUGUGGGGUGCUCGAGUGGCGAACGGGUGAGUAACACGUGAGUAACCUGCCCUUGACUUUGGGAUAACUUCAGGAAACUGGGGCUAAUACCGGAUAGGAGCUCCUGCUGCAUGGUGGGGGUUGGAAAGUUUCGGCGGUUGGGGAUGGACUCGCGGCUUAUCAGCUUGUUGGUGGGGUAGUGGCUUACCGAGGCUUUGACGGGUAGCCGGCCUGAGAGGGUGACCGGCCACAUGGGGACUGAGAUACGGCCCAGACUCCUACGGGAGGCAGCAGUGGGGAAUAUUGCACAGUGGGCGGAAGCCUGAUGCAGCGACGCCGCGUGCGGGAUGACGGCCUUCGGGUUGUAAACCGCUUUCGCCUGUGACGAAGCGUGAGUGACGGUAAUGGGUAAAGAAGCACCGGCUAACUACGUG